CGGGGGGCAGCAGUGGGGAAUAUUGCACAAUGGGCGCAAGCCUGAUGCAGCCAUGCCGCGUGUAUGAAGAAGGCCUUCGGGUUGUAAAGUACUUUCAGCGAGGAGGAAGGCAUUGUGGUUAAUAACCACAGUGAUUGACGUUACUCGCAGAAGAAGCACCGGCUAACUCCGUGCCAGCAGCCGCGGUAAUACGGAGGGUGCAAGCGUUAAUCGGAAUUACUGGGCGUAAAGCGCACGCAGGCGGUCUGUCAAGUCGGAUGUGAAAUCCCCGGGCUCAACCUGGGAACUGCAUUCGAAACUGGCAGGCUAGAGUCUUGUAGAGGGGGGUAGAAUUCCAGGUGUAGCGGUGAAAUGCGUAGAGAUCUGGAGGAAUACCGGUGGCGAAGGCGGCCCCCUGGACAAAGACUGACGCUCAGGUGCGAAAGCGUGGGGAGCAAACAGGAUUAGAUACCCGAGU
rnacentral:rRNA from 1 species